UACAGAGGGGGCAAGCGUUGUUCGGAAUUACUGGGCGUGAAGGGCGCGUAGGCGGCCUUCUAAGUCGAACGUGAAAUCCCCGGGCUCAACCCGGGAACUGCGUCCGAUACUGGAAGGCUUGAAUCCGGGAGAGGGACGCGGAAUUCCAGGUGUAGCGGUGAAAUGCGAAGAUAUCUGGAGGAACACCGGUGGCGAAGGCGGCAUCCUGGACCGGUAUUGACGCUGAGGCGCGAAAGCCAGGGGAGCAAACGGG
rnacentral:rRNA from 1 species